GUCGGCUAAUAAAUAUCUUAUCAAUCGCAUGUACCGUGUUCUAAAAUAGCUACAUUAGUCUUAAAUUAGCUAUUAAGAAAGCGUUUUUAUCCUGUAAUUGAAUUUUUGUAAGAUCCUGCUGAUGAUCAACGCUAUUUUGUUUUAUUUGAUCAAUAUCACCAGGUUUACAUCGUCGUUGUAUUAUAUCUAAGACUGAGCUUAACGGAUUCCUGCAAUUUGUGUAGGAAUUCAAUGAAAUUCGUGUCGUUUGAACUACAGCGACUAUAUCGAUUUGUUGCAAAC
rnacentral:lncRNA from 1 species